CAGAGAAUAGUUUAUAAAAAAUAUUAAUUUUGGAGAUUAAUGAAAGGAGUAAAAUCUUUUCUCUGA
rnacentral:tRNA from 1 species